UACAGAGGGUGCGAGCGUUAAUCGGAAUUACUGGGCGUAAAGCGCGCGUAGGCGGCUUUGCAAGUCGAGUGUGAAAUCCCCAGGCUUAACCUGGGAACUGCAUUCGAGACUGCAUAGCUAGAGUACGGGAGAGGGAAGUGGAAUUUCAGGUGUAGCGGUGAAAUGCGUAGAUAUCUGAAGGAACAUCAGUGGCGAAAGCGACUUCCUGGACCAAUACUGACGCUCAUGUGCGAAAGCGUGGGGAGCAAACAGG
rnacentral:rRNA from 1 species